rnacentral:rRNA from 1 species
UUUUUCUUUGCCUGACCAUUGGAAUUUGGUUCGGGUUAGGUGGGGUUCCUUUUAUGUUUCCCGACGUUUACUUUGAGAAAAUUAGAGUGCUUCAAGCAGGCUUUUGCCUUGAAUACUUUAGCAUGGAAUAAUGGAGUAGGACUUUGGUUCUAUUUUGUUGGUUUUAGGAGCCAGAGUAAUGGUUAAUAGGAACAGUUGGGGGCAUUCGUAUUUGACUGUCAGAGGUGAAAUUCUUAGAUUUGUCAAAGACGAACUACUGCGAAAGCAUUUGCCAAGGAUGUUUUCAUUAAUCAAGAACGAAAGUUAGGGGAUCGAAGACGAUCAGAUACCGUCGUAG